GAACUUAGCUUAGUGGCGGACGGGUGAGUAACGCGUGAGUAACCUGCCUUUCAGAGGGGGAUAACGUUCUGAAAAGAACGCUAAUACCGCAUAAUAUAUUGGUGUCGCAUGGCACCGGUAUCAAAGGAGCAAUCCGCUGAAAGAUGGACUCGCGUCCGAUUAACCAGUUGGCGGGGUAAAGGCCCACCAAAGCGACGAUCGGUAGCCGGGUUGAGAGACUGAACGGCCACAUUGGGACUGAGACACGGCCCAGACUCCUACGGGAGGCAGCAGUGGGGGAUAUUGCACAAUGGAGGAAACUCUGAUGCAGCAAUGCCGCGUGAGGGAAGACGGUCUUCGGAUUGUAAACCUCUGUCCUUGGUGAAGAUAAUGACGGUAGCCAAGGAGGAAGCUCCGGCUAACUACGUGCCAGCAGCCGCGGUAAUACGUAGGGAGCAAGCGUUGUCCGGAUUUACUGGGUGUAAAGGGUGCGUAGGCGGCUCUUUAAGUCGGGCGUGAAAGCUGUGGGCUUAACCCACAAAUUGCGUUCGAAACUGGAGGGCUUGAGUGAAGUAGAGGUAGGCGGAAUUCCCGGUGUAGCGGUGAAAUGCGUANAGAUCGGGAGGAACACCAGUGGCGAAGGNGGCCUACUGGGCUUUAACUGACGCUGAGGCACGAAAGCAUGGNUAGCAAACAGG
rnacentral:rRNA from 1 species